rnacentral:rRNA from 1 species
AGAGUUUGAUCAUGGCUCAGGAUGAACGCUGGCGGCGUGCUUAACACAUGCAAGUCGAACGAAGCACUUUAUUUGAUUUCCUUCGGGACUGAUUAUUUUGUGACUGAGUGGCGGACGGGUGAGUAACGCGUGGGUAACCUGCCUUGUACAGGGGGAUAACAGUUGGAAACGGCUGCUAAUACCGCAUAAGCGCACAGCAUCGCAUGAUGCAGUGUGAAAAACUCUGGUGGUAUAAGAUGGACCCGCGUUGGAUUAGCUAGUUGGUGAGGUAACGGCCCACCAAGGCGACGAUCCAUAGCCGACCUGAGAGGGUGACCGGCCACAUUGGGACUGAGACACGGCCCAAACUCCUACGGGAGGCAGCAGUGGGGAAUAUUGCACAAUGGGCGAAAGCCUGAUGCAGCGACGCCGCG